GCCCCUAUCGUCUAGUGGACUAGGACGCGGCCCUUUCAAGGCCACGACCGGGGUUCGAAUCCCCGUAGGGGCA
rnacentral:tRNA from 1 species